GAUGAACGCUGGCGGCGUGCCUAAUACAUGCAAGUCGAGCGAAUGGAUUAAGAGCUCGCUCUUAUGAAGUUAGCGGCGGACGGGUGAGUAACACGUGGGUAACCUGCCCAUAAGACUGGGAUAACUCCGGGAAACCGGGGCUAAUACCGGAUAACAUUUUGAACCGCAUGGUUCGAAAUUGAAAGGCGGCUUCGGCUGUCACUUAUGGAUGGACCCGCGUCGCAUUAGCUAGUUGGUGAGGUAACGGCUCACCAAGGCAACGAUGCGUAGCCGACCUGAGAGGGUGAUCGGCCACACUGGGACUGAGACACGGCCCAGACUCCUACGGGAGGUAGCAGUAGGGAAUCUUCCGCAAUGGACGAAAGUCUGACAGAGCAACGCCGCGUGAGUGAUGAAGGCUUUCGGGUCGUAAAACUCUGUUGUUAGGGAAGAACAAGUGCUAGUUGAAUAAGCUGGCACCUUGACGGUACCUAACCAGAAAGCCACGGCUAACUACGUGCCAGCAGCCGCAGUAA
rnacentral:rRNA from 1 species